GGCGGCCGCGGGAAUUCGAUUAGAGUUUGAUCAUGGCUCAGAUUGAACGCUGGCGGCAGGCCUAACACAUGCAAGUCGAGCGGUAGAGAGAAGCUUGCUUCUCUUGAGAGCGGCGGACGGGUGAGUAAUGCCUAGGAAUCUGCCUGGUAGUGGGGGAUAACGUUCGGAAACGGACGCUAAUACCGCAUACGUCCUACGGGAGAAAGCAGGGGACCUUCGGGCCUUGCGCUAUCAGAUGAGCCUAGGUCGGAUUAGCUAGUUGGUGGGGUAAUGGCUCACCAAGGCGACGAUCCGUAACUGGUCUGAGAGGAUGAUCAGUCACACUGGAACUGAGACACGGUCCAGACUCCUACGGGAGGCAGCAGUGGGGAAUAUUGGACAAUGGGCGAAAGCCUGAUCCAGCCAUGCCGCGUGUGUGAAGAAGGUCUUCGGAUUGUAAAGCACUUUAAGUUGGGA
rnacentral:rRNA from 1 species